rnacentral:rRNA from 1 species
AUGGUGAAGCGGUGGUUCCCCCUGGAGGCCAACCCCGACGUCAUGAACCAGUUCAUGUGGGGGCUGGGGGUCCCGGAGGGCGUGGGGUUCUGCGACGUGUACGGGCUCGACGACGAUAUGCUCGCCAAGUCGCCAUGGUGCCCCAGCCGGUCCUCGCCGUCCUCCUGCUCUACCCGCAGUACAAAACAGACUGUUGGCAAUGCUUGCGGAACAAUUGGUAUUAUUCAUGCAAUAGGGAAUGCUGUAUCCGAAAUCAAGCUAGUUGAUGGGUCCUAUUUUCAUAGAUUUUAUAAACAAACUGCUGAUAUGGAUCCUAUCCAGCGUGCUGCUUUUCUUGAGGAGGACCAAGAAAUGGAGGACGCUCAUUCUGUUGCUGCUGCUGGUGGUGAUACAGAGGCCAAGGAUGGGGUAAUUGAACAUUACGUUUGUUUUACGUGUGUUGAUGGUGAACUUUAUGAGCUUGAUGGAGGAAAGCCGCAGCCGAUACAUCAUGACCGCGCCUCUCCUGAUAGCUUGUUGCAGGAUGCUGCAAGAGUCAUAAAAACGAGGAUUGUGGAGUAUUCUGAGUCACUCAACUUCAUUGUCAUGGCUCUCUCGAAGAUAUAG